rnacentral:sRNA from 1 species
AACAUAAACAACAGCGGUGCGGUAUUUUGGAUACACAUUCGUGCAUGUCAAUGCGUAGCUGAACAUCAGUGGCUCACAAGAUAUGCGUGUGUGCUUUAUGUCGUUUGAGGCGCCUUAGUCAACACUUAGUUGAACUUCGUGUUCGCGUGUGAAAGCGUGUAUACGUGCGUGUGUGUGUGUGUGUGUGUCACUAUUUUAUAUCUUAUGAAUCUAAAUUAGAUUGUCUGAUGUAAAGCAAGUAAAUUGUAUUUUGUUUUGCUAAAAUUUAAGAAAAUCCCCCAAAAAACAUAAAAAAGUAUGAGUGAUUGAGCGUGAUCAAAAUAAAGGAGGAGUAGAGGAGAGCCUGCUUGCUUAUUGGUUGAAACGUGCGUGUCUGUGUAACCACUUGCAUACAUUGGAACGUGUAUUCGCGUUUGCCUUAGUAUUCGCGCGUGUGUGUAUGCGUGUGUUAGCGAAUUCGCGAGUGUGGCUUAUUAUAAUAAGCACGUUUGGCAUUUCUUUGACAGUGGUGACAAGCUAUAAAACAUUUACGGCUGCUCCACGAAUAAGGAAAACCUCAAAGAAAGAUGUUUUGUAAUCAUCAAAGUGUGCGUUGAAAAAAAAAAAAAAACAAAAACAAAAACUUGUUGAAAACCACGGAUGCGGCAAUUGUGUGAUCUGCGUGCGGGUGUAUGAUGUUGGUCUCUUAGUUUAGUGCUGCUGCUGCCGAUGAAAACCCUCGAGAACAAGUGAAUAGGGUCGUCGUUGGGAUCUGAAUACAGGUUACUUCAUCAUUGCCGUUGCCAUACUGUCACUCACAUUUCACUGUGAGUCACCUCAAAAACCUCUCGGACGCCACUCUUGCAGAUAUUGUCUUUAAAAGCCUCUUAUUUGUAUAAUGCUGGGGUCGACAGUUGUUGCUGUUCCAUUUGUGGUUGGUAGACUACACCAAUCGCUACGUUCUCUAUGCUAAUGUUUGUUUAAGAAAUCAUUGCACGAUAGCGACGACAUUUGUGACAAGCGUAAAUACCACCAAACACCAAUACCAAGACCAUAAAACAACAACAAUAACAACACAACACCAACCGCCAAAGAAAACAAGCAACGGAAACGGAAACAGUCUGUAAAUCCAGCCAAAGGGAAAUACUUGAAGCAAACAAACCAAAUCAAAUCAAAAAAAAAAAAAAAUCGUUCACUGAAAAAUCGUAACGUUUUCAUUUAUUGUGAUCGAAAAGAAAAAUAAAGAAAAAAAAAACAAAAUAAAUAAAAACCGUAAAACGAAAAAAAGAACGAAAACCAUUGUGCGCUUGAACAAAUAUAACAAAUUCUGAAAAUUGCCUUUAUUCGCGUCUCAAGUGUGAAGUAUUGUUAAGGCGCCAUAUAAGGCGUAACAAAGUGUUGUGUUUUGUGUCUGAUAUGGAAAUCAAGCAAAUAAAUUAAAAAUCACUGUUAUAUAACAGAAAUUAAGUAAGGUGUUUAAAGUGAAAGAGAGAUUGUUUUUAAACAAAGCAAAACGGAUUUCAAGGAUUUGUCUGUUCGAACAAACAAACAUUCUCUUCAUAAGAGCAAAAAGCUUAAAACAUUUGGUGGAUUUUUCUUGAAAUUUAAAUCAUAAAGGUAAGUCUGUUGCG